GAUGAAGAACGCAGCGAAAUGCGAUAAUUAAUGUGAAUUGCAGAAUUCCGUGAAUCAUCGAGUCUUUGAACGCACAUUGCGCCUCAGGGCAUUCCGUGAGGCAUGCCCAUCUCAGCGUUAGAAAAUAUUCUCAAAUUUUAGUUUUGUGCUAAAAUUUGGAUCAUGUCAAAGAAGCUAUUACUAUUAUUGUGAUCGCUCUUUGGAAAUUGAUAGGUCUUUGAGUUGCUACUCAUAGAACGUGAUGAAUCUUUCUUCGUUCUAUUGUAAUUCACUCUGGUAGUCCUAAAACUUGUAUGCCUGUGGCAUAUCUUGUAAUUUGACCUGAGAUUGGGUAGGGAUACCCGCUGAACUUAAGCAUAUCAAUAAGCGGAGGA
rnacentral:misc_RNA from 1 species